GGCGCUGUGGCUCAAGUGGUAGAGCAUUAGCCUUGUGAGCUGAAGAGCUGAGG
rnacentral:tRNA from 1 species